rnacentral:rRNA from 1 species
AGAUUGAACGCUGGCGGCAUGCUUUACACAUGCAAGUCGAGCGGUAACAGGCCGCAAGGUGCUGACGAGUGGCGAACGGGUGAGUAAUGUAUCGGAACGUGCCCAGUCGUGGGGGAUAACGCAGCGAAAGCUGCGCUAAUACCGCAUACGAUCUAUGGAUGAAAGCGGGGGACCGUAAGGCCUCGCGCGAUUGGGAGCGGCCGAUAUCAGAUUUAGGGUAGUUGGUGGGGUAAAGGCUCACCAAGCCAACGAUCUGUAGCUGGUCUGAGAGGACGACCAGCCACACUGGGACUGACGACACGGCCCAGAACUCCUACGGGAGGCAGCAGUGGGGAAUUUUGGACAAGUGGGCGCGAAGCCUGA